GAUGAACGCUGGCGGCGUGCCUAAUACAUGCAAGUCGAGCGAACAGACGAGGAGCUUGCUCCUCUGACGUUAGCGGCGGACGGGUGAGUAACACGUGGAUAACCUACCUAUAAGACUGGGAUAACUUCGGGAAACCGGAGCUAAUACCGGAUAAUAUAUUGAACCGCAUGGUUCAAUAGUGAAAGACGGUUUUGCUGUCACUUAUAGAUGGAUCCGCGCCGCAUUAGCUAGUUGGUAAGGUAACGGCUUACCAAGGCAACGAUGCGUAGCCGACCUGAGAGGGUGAUCGGCCACACGGGAACGGAGACACGGUCCAGACUCCUACGGGAGGCAGCAGUAGGGAAUCUUCCGCAAUGGGCGAAAGCCUGACGGAGCAACGCCGCGUGAGUGAUGAAGGUCUUCGGAUCGUAAAACUCUGUUAUUAGUGAAGAACAAAUGUGUAAGUAACUAUGCACGUCUUGACGGUACCUAAUCAGAAAGCCACGGCUAACUACGUG
rnacentral:rRNA from 1 species